GAUGAACGCUGGCGGCGUGCCUAAUACAUGCAAGUCGAGCGAAUGGAUUAAGAGCUUGCUCUUAUGAAGUUAGCGGCGGACGGGUGAGUAACACGUGGGUAACCUGCCCAUAAGACUGGGAUAACUCCGGGAAACCGGGGCUAAUACCGGAUAACAUUUUGAACCGCAUGGUUCGAAAUUGAAAGGCGGCUUCGGCUGUCACUUAUGGAUGGACCCGCGUCGCAUUAGCUAGUUGGUGGGGUAACGGCUCACCAAGGCAACGUGGCGUAGCCGACCUGAGAGGGUGAUCGGCCACACUGGGACUGAGACACGGCCCAGACUCCUACGGGAGGCAGCAGUAGGGAAUCUUCCGCAAUGGACGAAAGUCUGACGGAGCAACGCCGCGUGAGUGAUGAAGGCUUUCGGGUCGUAAAACUCUGUUGUUAGGGAAGAACAAGUGCUAGUUGAAUAAGCUGACACCUUGACGGUACCUAACCAGAAAGCCACGGUUAACUACGUGCCAGCAGCCGCGGUAA
rnacentral:rRNA from 1 species